UCUAUUAACUGAGCUCUUCGUUCUGCGCCUCUCUAUUACGUUGCCAACAAAGACAGGAUGCUAGCGUUUUGGGACACCAAUAUCCGGAAAAAGCGCAAGCUGGGCAAGUCGAGUGGCUGUGGGGUUCCGCUGCUCAGCUCCUGGUUGAGGGUUCGAUCACAGCCGCGGCAGUCGCACUUCGAUAACGGCCGAAAUGCAAAAACGCUCGUGUACUUUUAGUUUUAGAUGCGUGCGAAAGAACCCCAGGUGGUCAAAAUUAGCCCGUUAGUGCGCCUGCUACAACGCGUCCCAUAAUAAGAUUGUGUCGUUCGGGCACGCAAUUGAAGGCCUAGAAUUUCAUUUUUUUUUCUUCCAAGAGAAACGGUCGAGACGCGCGCUCACGAGUUGCAAGUCAUGCUCGCUGCCGGAGCCCAACGCGAAUGCGAAGGCGGCCACGGAGCCACGGACCGCGAAGGUUCCGUCGGCGGGUUAUAAUAUCGAUAAAACUACGGCGACAGCGCUAACGCCAUUCCGUGUCCAAGAACACAGUGGAAGCAUGUGGAAGCUUCUAGAACAUUCCGAGUUCGGCAACUGUACGCAGGCUGCAACUUUUUUUUCUUCUUUUUAUUCCUUUGUUUUUACCAUCCCCACUCGCGCCGAUCGCGGUGAUAACAGCGGCGCGGCGGCUAGCGAGCCGGUGACGUAGUUCGACAUUAGACCAAUGAGAGCAGAAAAGAAAUUGCCCAGGCGUAUCAACGCAUGCGCCGAAGAGCUUGGCAUUGUGGUCGUCGUGGGCUUAUAUCGAGCAUCCGGGGGCUCGGGCCGCCAUUUUGCCUUUUCUGUCCACUUCGACGUGCCUCGUCUGGGCUGCCUUCUGCGCCUCACCGUACCUCGAGUUCCUGCUGGUCUUAAUUACGCGCUAACAGUGGCAGCGCUUUUCGAAGUUGCACGCUGCGCACGUUCCCGCCUUCGGCCGACUCUGGAAGCACUGGCUUCAUGCCCCGGGCCUGCAAGACGUGAGGCACGCCUCGAGAGACUUGUAGCCCGACCCGCCCGCUGUCUCGGCAAUUCCUGGCCCCGCUUUCGAGCUCCCGGAGUGUAAGUGACCGCCAGCCGGCAUACCUACGUUACUAUACGCCGACGACACUCCGGUCGAGCCGGCGCAGCGUAUGUAAGCCGCAAGUCGUUCCUGCCGAGUACUCGUUCUUUUGUUUGUGCGCGCGCGUUUCCACCCCCCGACGGCGCCGGGACUAUGGAACUGUGGAUGAACUCUGAGCGUGGCCACUAACCCCAGGACCUGCACGGCAACCCCUCGUCACGGCGAGCGUCGUCUCUACGAGCUUCGCAUCGAGCGUCCUAAACGCUCAAAAGGCCUGUGUGUGCACUUCGUGCAUUUUUUUCUAGAUGGUCUAGCUGGCGAGGGUGGCGCAUGCCUUAGAGAAGUUAACUGUUUGUUCAGUUGCACUAGCUAGCGCUCACUAGGGUUGUAUAGCUACACUACAAAAUUGCGUAAUGUUAGUGUUGCUUAGCUGUAAGCCCGAGGUUUCGUGGGCAUGGCUUGCGGCCACACGGGUCUUCUCCGUGCCGGAAUCGAAGAGGACGGGCCACGUGUUGCGGGGUGGCGGCGUAUAGCUUCAGGUUUUAGCUGACACACAGGGUUAGCUUACACUGUGCAGGCUACAGCUGAUAGCCGUCCUCUUACGAUUGCGUCAGGGACAUGGACCCAUCCGAACGGCCUUGCGACCCGACCCCACUAUUUCGUGACGUAGAUAGCCCGCGCGCGUCAGUGCGCGUGCUAUUGAGCGAAAUGUGGAAUGACGGAAGCAAACGGCAUUCGGACAUUACCUCGCCAGCUAUUAGGCACUAACCCGCUCUACGCAGCACCUCGACGCCGGACGUCGCCUGCUGUUUUCGUCGGAGCUGGGCCGGGCAGCAGCUACAAGCAUCACUCGUACCGCGCGCGGCCUACCGUGUUCACUCGUCGGUGUGGCCUUGUGGCCCUGCACCGGGUAAGUACCACGUACAGAUGAAUAGUAGUACAUCUGUGUUCUCGAGUGCUUAAAAAAAAAAAAAAAUCUUGUUGUCGUUUCAGGAUCCCGAGGUCCGCUUUCGAGAUUGCGGACCACGAGUAUGAAGGAUAUCCAGUGUGCUGCUCCACGUUUGCCAUCCUCCCAACGUCCCCCACCGGAGAUGGCCUUGAGCACCUCUUACCGUGGCUGACCGCGUUGGCUCCUUUGCAUUUCCACGUCCAUGGCGUCCUUCUGCUACGGGGGACUUCGUUUGCUACUGCUGCCCACGUGUAAGGUGGAUAUCCAGCGCGCUGCUCCACGUUUGCCAUCCUCCCAACGUCCCCAUUAGGAUAUGGCCUAGAGCACCGCUCCUACCGUGACCGACCGUUCCCCUUCGCCGGUGCGGUCUCGCUGGCAGACGAGAUUGCUCAUCGCCCUUCUUUGC